rnacentral:lncRNA from 1 species
AGAUGAUCUCUUAUGGUUUCAUUUGUAUCAGACAUGAAUUUUAGAGUAAUUUUGGACUGCAGGUCUUCACAGCUUUAUCUCCUUUGAGGAAGAGGUUUUCCAAACUUGUGGUCUCAAAGCAGCAUUCAGUUCUCACUCCUUAAUCAGAAGGAGGGUUUGUUUACAAAGUUCACAGUCAUAAAGUCUUACUGGUGGAUUGGCACUGAGAUGGUUUGGGCAGUCUCCUAAGAAACUAAAUUACUUGUGCAGCAUUUUGAGAAGAGGGCAGGUGUUUGAGUUGUAGAGUUCAGCUGAGGUUUUCUAAGUCAAAGCUAGAAAGGAAUAGGAAGGUAGAGGAAGGCUGUUCUUCCCUGAUAAUUUCAAGGCAGGUGUACCAUAGAGAUGUCACUGGAGAUGGAUAUCCCUUCUACUCUUCUCAGGAAUAUUGUAAUUCAUCUGCAGAGCACACAGAUCCAGGUUCCAAAGAAUAAAUUAGUGCUAAAAAUGGGUGUGAAAUUGAAGUUAUUCCAGCAGAUAUGGCCUUCUAGGAGAUGAAAUCUCUUGCUAACUUAAAAACAAGGUGACUUUGUUUCCCUGCUGUAGAUCCUCCCCCUCCCCAUACCCCCUGGUUAUUUGUCAGAUCUUUGGGCAGUGUGUGGGCCAGUGUUAGGUGUCUUUAUUUCCUCCUCUCAUCAGUGAAUGAUUUCAGGUGGAUUGAUUUUUUUGUUUUGUUGUGUUUUGGAUGGCCAUGCCUGUGGCAUGAGGAAGUUCCCAGGCUAGGGGUCAAAUCAGAGCUAUAGCUGCCAGCCUACACCAUAGCUCACAGAAGCACCAGAUCCCUGACCCACUGAAUGAAGCCAGGGAUUGAACCCGCAUUCUCAUGGAUACUAUGUGGAUUCGUUACCACUGCGCCACAAUGGGAACUCGUGAGAAUUUUUCUUAACUUCCUGAUGAUUGGCUUUUGGGUAUUAGGGCAAAGUCUCACAAAGGUGGGAAAGCUUGUACCAGUACCAUGCUAGCUCUAUCUUCUUUUAAACAAUUUAUCAAGCUACCUUUAACUCUGGCCCCUCAGUGCUCUCUUUCCCAUGAGCUUCUUGGAUUGUUGAUAUUAGGUCCACCCAGGGUGAAUUUAAGCUAAAACUGGCAGUAGAUUCCAGGAAGCCUUCUACCUAAUAUCUACUAAUCUCUGUGGGGGUCUUGAUGGCAGAGGGAUGGGAGAAGGUGAUGAGGCAGAAAGAAAUAGUGGCUGAGCCAUUAUCCUGGUGGAUUGGGGAGAUGGCUGAAUUAUCUAGGAGAGGUUAUUAAGAGUCAGAGAAUUCUUAGUCAAUCAAAAUAUAAAAAUCUAAGACUGUAUGUGCUGUAGGCAUGUCUGGGGAGAAGCAUGGAGCCCUGUUUAAGGCUGUAGUGUGAAGCAGGGUAGCUGUUAAGGGCCCCCAUAAACAUUAGUUAGGGAACAUCAGUCACACCCGAGGAAGGCUCUGCUCCUGUUAUUGAGGAUUGUUGAAGAAAUGAAUCAUAUUCUUGGUGAAAGAAUAGCUGUGUUUAUUCGUUGUGUUUUACACUGUAUUGAAGCCACAGCCCUGGAGAUUUAUGCUACCAGUAACUUUGUUUUAUAGAUAAGGACUCCAAGACUCCAUAAUUGCUUAAUAUCUCCAGCCAGAGUUGAAACUCAGGUCUGUCUGAUUCUGAAACCUGUGUGCUUAACCAUAUGUAUCUUGUUAUAAAAAUAACUGAGUUCCCAAUGUGGCUCAGUGGAAACGAACCUAACUAGCAUCCAUAAGGCCUUGCUCAGUGGGUUAAGGAUCUGGCAUUGUUGUGAGCUGUGACAUAGGUCACAGGCUAGAUUUGGAUCCUGUGUGGCUGUGGCAUAGGCCAGCAGCCACAGCUCUCACUCGAUCCCUUGCCUUGGAACCUUCGUAUGCCAUGGGUGCAGCCCUAAAAAUACAAAUACAAAUACUACUACUACUAAUAGUAACUGUAUGUGACUAAUUUACAAAGCUGAAAAUUAUAGUUCAGUUUAUGAUGCCGAGAGCAAGCAAAACACUGUAAAAGGCUUUGGCAGGUUAAUUGGGUAGUACUUACUUGGGGAAGAUGACUUUAGGAACAGUUGUAGCAUGAGAGAAUGAUACAUAGCUUUUUCCUUUGCAUAGAUUUAGAGGAUCUUGAGAUGCCUUUGAAUUUGGGUAGUCUGCCCAUAGAGUCUCUGCUCAGCUGCAGCCCUGUGGAUUGGCAGAGCAGGGUUUUUUGAUGAGAAGGCUGGACCUUAGUAUUCAAGGCCAGGAGAUGAUAGUGCCAGUUCUGAAACAUGGCACCCUUCUCUUUUCUCUUGACCAGCUCACAGAAUGGCUUUUAGAAUAGCAUUAUUGUUUUCCAUAUAUCUAAUAUGGACCUGGUCAGGAGAAAGGAACCCUGUCAUUAGGUAACAAAGUCUCAUUAGCUUGAUCCAAAUAAAGGGAAGUGAUUGGGAUUCUGGAGCUACAUCUUCUCCCCAAAGGUCAGGGGUCUUCACACUGUUUUGAGUAUAGGUAGUAAACUCAUUAACUUCAAUUCAUGUUUGCAUUAGUGAUUUCACUUGAUCUUCAAUACAACCCUGUAAGCGAGGCAGGAUAGUAUCAUUUGUCAGAUGGCGAGACUGAGGUUAAGCAACUUGGGCUUUGUCCCUCUCUUGAUCUUUGACCUUAAGCAAGUAAUUUAAACCCAAGCUUUGCUUUCUCCUCUGUAAAAUGAAAAUAACUAUACUUUCUUUGCCUGAGAGUCUUGAGAGAAUGAAAUGCUGUAUGUAAAACACUUAGCACAGUGCUUGGCAAGUAGUAGAUGCUCAGCAGUACGUGGAAUGGAUUGAAGCUAUCUGUCAUCACCAUCACCACUGGCUCACUUUAUUUAAACUGGGGCCAGAGACCCCUGUUGGCUUCUGGGUCUUAGGCUGCUAAAUGAGUGAGGAGUCCUCAGCCCCAUUGCCAGGAGAAGGAAAGACUGAGGAAGCCUGAGUAUAUCAUAUUAUAUAUUAUCCUUCACAUCUCAUCUUUAACCAACUCUGGAUAGGUUGGAUAUUUAUUUGGAGUACCAGACCCACAGUGGAGCCUCGGUGUCAGCUUCCUGGACUGCCUUUGUAAAGCUUUUAAGAUAAGAUCUGCACUGGUCUCGUGGGAGAGGGAUAUUCGGAUUGAUUCUGAAUCUCUUACUCCCCUAAGAACUGUGCCCUUUUCUCUGUAACUUAAGGACUUCACAGCUGUGUUGGUGUUAGGGAGUUUGGUGCUUCUCUUGACAGCUUGUGAAGGGUGGGCAGGCACCUGUGAAUUCUUCACUUGCCUCGUGAGAAUGACUUCACCCCAGGAUGUUGAGGUCCCAGUUAUCUCAUCUGCUACUAUAAAAUUCCUCUGUCUUAGAUACUAGUUUCUUUUAAGAUCAGUCUUUCCUUAACCCCUAGGGAUCUUGAACCCUGCUAAAUGUCGAGUGACUGAAUGGAGUCCUCUAUUUGCUUUUAGCUUGCAUUAUAGUGUUUGGUCUUAUCUCUCUGUUUCUUCCAUGGCAGUAAUAGCACUACUGGAAAAAGCUCUGGAUUGGGAGUUGGAGAUGCAGGUUCUAGUUGGGGCACCAGAAUUUUCUUGGACAAGUUGCUAUACGUUUUUGAGCCUCAGUUUCCCCAUAUGAAGAUAAAAUGGUUCUCUGUUCCUUUUUGGUUUGUGUCUUUUUAGGAGUAGACCUCUUCCCCCCCCCCCCCCCCCAAAUAAAAUCUUGCCUAGAGCCCUAUUAUAGAGACAGAACACAGUUUGUUUUGUUCUGGAACAGAGUUGCUGUGAUUGAAGCAAGUCCAGCAGUUUUGCUGCCCCCCACUGAUUCCUUGUCCCAAACAUAGAUGUGCAUUUUGUACUUGUCUGGGGGCCUCUAGGACUCUGUCAAGAGACUUUGGACAUUGCUGGUGCAGGAUCAUCUCUACAACGCUAAGAAUUUUUUUGCUGUUGACAGGUAGGUAGUAAAAAUCUGUAAAACCUGUAUGUUAAAUGUGUAAGUAGACCAUGGAGUCUUCAAGAAGAAUUAGAUUUUCACUGAUGUAUUUGAAAGAUUCUAAAGUUUGGCUCAGUCUGUAGUGUUUUGUAUAUUGUAGUGUCCAGUAAAGACUGACUUAAUUUUUGCUUGCAGGAUAAAUAUAGUUUUUUAAUAGUGGCAGACACUUUAUUUCCCUAUCUUAUGGACCAGUUCCUUCUGGGAAUACCUGUAGGAUCCAACCAUUAAUAUAAUUCAGUAGUGGAACUAGAUUCCUUUACAGAUUUUUCUCUUGUAGGUAUUUAGGUAUUCUCCAUUACAAUGUAUAUAAUAUAAAUAGAACAUUUGCUAUUGUUAACUUAUGUUUCAGGAGUCAUUCUAGUGCCAGUUCCAUAUAGAACUUUCUAAUUUUAAAGAGGAAGAGUGGAAUAGAAAGAAAAGCAUAUGUACUUUAGAAUAGAGGGAUCUAAGUUUGAAAAAGACUCUGUCAGUAACUAGCUAUGUUUGGGCAAACUAUUACUCUAGUUUUUCAAUCAUGAUUUACACAUUUGUAAAUUGAGCCAAUAAUACUUGCUAACCUUUUGCAGAACUGUUGUAAGGAUUAGGGAUAAUGGGUCUUCCUCCCCCCAGCGAAUGUUAAGUCAGACAAAAGGACAAAGAUUAGUCUGUUAGGGAAUUCUCAUAGAAGAGCAUCCAAUUUUGUUAUAUAUAUUGUUUUAUAUGAAUAUAUAUUAUAUAUUGUUAGUGGGGUCAAAUGGUAGAUCACCCAGUGUGAUUUAUUCUUGCUUAGGCAUUUAUUCACUUCAGGGAACACUUGUUUAUAUAUUACCCAUUUUGCAAGACGUAUUAUAGAGGAAUAAUUAAGAACAUGAACUCUAGAGCCAGCCUGCCUGGGUUUGAAUCUUGGCUCCACCAUUUACCUGCUGUAUGAUCUCAGGCAAGUUAUUUAACUUAUUUUUCUUGUGAGGAUAAUACCUACCUCCUCAGGAUUUUUUUUUUUUUUUUUUUUUUUUUUAAACUAGGGGACAAAUCCCUGUUGAGUCUUAUAGGAAGAGAAAAGUUAAGCGCACAGGCUGGAGAAAGGGUCUGGUAGCGUAGCACCAGUGAUACAGCUGAAAAUUUAGCAAGUGGCUGGUCUGACCCCAAUAGCGUAUUUCUACUACAUUCUGGUUAUGGACGUCUUUUCUGCCUCAUUCAAGUAUGCUGUUCGUUAAGUUUUUUUUUGUUUUUUUUUUUUUAAACAAAUACUAGCAAUCAUAGAUUUUUUUUUUUUUUUUAAAUUUUCCCCCUGUACAGCAAGGGGGUCAGGUUAUCCUUACAUGUAUGCAUUACAAUUACAUUUUUUCCCCCACCCUUUCUUCUGUUGCAACAUGAGUGUCUAGACAUAGUUCUCAAUGCUAGCAAUCAUAGAUUUGAGGAGAGGGGCUUGUACACCUGGAAGACAUCUGGGGUUAUCUUUAGCCCCUCUUUUACAUAUGGAGAAGGGUGAGAGUAUAAGCCUCAUUAAACAAACCACAGCAUGUUUAGUGGCAGAACCAACUGGGUUCUUAUACACACUCCUGGACUUUGUCCCUCUUACGCAACAGGGAAUACUCACUUUUUUAUUUUUAUUUUUUAAUUUUCACAAGAUUUUUAUUGUUUUUUGCUGUGCCCAUGGCAUGUGGAAGUUCCUGGGCCAGGAAUUGAACCCGUACCAUGGCAGCAGCCCUGGCUUCUAAGUGACAGCUCUGGAUCCUUAACCCACUGUACCAUAAAGGAACUCUGAUACUCACUUUUAAAAAAGACUGGAUAAGCAGUUCUUGCUGGUGAAGAGUAGCAAAACUUAGCUUUUAAUAAAUUAUAGGAAAAGAAGAAAUAUGCCUACCCUAGGGAGUUAGUUUUUCCUCAGAGGUUGUGGACCAUCAGGUUCUCUGAGUGCUUGGAAGGCUGAAAGGGGAAUAACCAGUGAGGUGGGGCUGUCAGAUAGGAUUUCUCAGAUAAUAGAGUUUUUGAGCCAGGCAGGGCUCACAGGAGAGGGUGUUCCUGAUAGCUAAUGGAAUGCUGUCCUCAAGUGAUGCAACAUGCUGCUUCCAUAACAGUAAUGGGGGCUCAUUCAUAACCAUCUCACAGGAAAUGAAGGCUUAGAGUAGCCGAGAAAGUUGCCCAAGAUGAAGCUUCAAAGUAAUGAAACCAUAGUUCAGCUCCAGAUCUAUCUGAUUUCAAAGCUAAUGUGUUUCCUACAAAAUAUGCUGCCCCCUCCAAGUGUGAAUGAACAUUCUCAGAAGGAUUGAGCUCAAACUGGAGCCACGCUUUCAGAGGACCUCUGUAAAAAGAGAAAGGGCCAGGAGUUGCUGUCAUGGCUCAGCCGAAACGAAUCUGACUAGCCUC